rnacentral:lncRNA from 1 species
GCUGUCUUACACAGGCAGACAUGUUAGAUCAUUUUUCUUGCCUAUCACGUUCAAAAUAGAUCGUGGAGACAAAUAGGUCUGGGUAUUUCCUGACAUUAUUUAUAAAGUUUAUGACGUCACAAUGGUGCCAGGUACUAUGUGACAUCACUUUAGUGCACGCUAUUUUAGACAAGGUUUUUCCCUAGGGAAGACAGGAAUAUCUAUCCCCGGCGCGUGCUCGGAUACUUUCCCCGCUAGGUAGGCAAGAAAUAUGAAUCACCUUUCUAGGCUUUAAGUUUUAUUGCAGGUAUAUGACGAUAUAUAUAUUAUGUACAUGAAUACACAUUUUUGUAUUUCAAUAAAAAAAGAAUAUUUUUCAACUUCCUGAAAGACUUUAAAUGUGAAUUCAUAUAAAAACAUCAACGCGGGUCGUCUCAACAAAACAUGUAGUCUUCGCGAGCUCCGUAAAACUCGAAGUAACUCCUUUGGAUAGCCAAUAACUGCAUGCAAAUUUUCGACUGGGACUUUUAUACUAAAAAUUUAAGAUGAAUGUGUAGUUUAAGAAAUAAUUUUUGUAAAAGAGUGCUUGAAUACUACUGAGGCACGAUUGGCAGUUAUACGAAGGGCGUUAUAAUUGCACGAGGGCGCAGUAUUUCUAUAUUUAAUUUAGCGCUCUUUCUUGGUCGCAAAAAAAAAAUUGACGUCGCCGCACGUUAACGUGACGUCAUUCUAGCGUAAGUGUGUUUUGCCAGAUACAAGCAUAUUAGAAUAUAGCAGAUCUAUAUUUUCAUUUCGCAGAAUGACUUAUUUUUCAUAAUAAACAAUUAAGUAAUACUUUUCUAAAUCCCGCGUAUGUAUUCUUUUUUAUUUUUCUUGAUAAAAUAUUUAUAGAAGAAUGUUCGCAAGAAACCCAUAAAAUCUUAGACUACAAGUUGUGGAAUAUAUUUUACUUUACCGGUUAAUAUAUCAUCAGUAGGCCCUAUAUCUCGUAACAAAUAAAAUUGAUUUCCAUUCUAAUAGAUCUACAAUCAUAUAAAAUGGACUGGACUAUUUCUUGCGAAGUACUCAUCGAAUGCUAUUUAACUGUCGUUGACAUAAUCUCGUGCAGUAGCGUAAUGCACCGUAGACUUUUACUCACAUUUUCGUCAUUGUUUAUAUUGGCAAAAAACAAAACAAAACAAACAAACGAAUAUUGUUAAAAUUAUCGUUAGAAUCUGUGCCAACAAAUUAAACAUACUAAAAUAAAAAAAAAUGAAAACGUUUCAAUACAAAAUGUAAAGGUUUUGAAUUGAAAAUCAUCAUUACUGCUACAGUCACCGCUUUUGAGUUUCUGGUUCUGGUAAUUAGCAUCUGUAAAUCAAGUUCGGCCCCGCCCUAUUGCAGCUCUUGACCAGUCAAUAAAGUGAUUAAACAUUUGACAAGCACUCAGUGGGAUAGAGAAUGCAUUGGGUCAAUGCGUUACUCCGCAACUAAUUAAGCUGUCGAUUUGGAGAAUUAAGUGUUCGUAAAAAUGGAUUCAGAGGAUUGUGUCCCGGUUUUUAAGAGCACAGACUGGGUGAUUAUUCAAAAACAAAAGAUUGGUAAGUAUAGAUUGUAUACCGAUUCUAAUGUGACUAAAAGUAAAUACAUUUACAGUUCAUUUUACAUUUGAUUAUUGUCUGGUAUUAAACACUAAUUUCCUGAUCAGUAGCUCUGAUUCUAUUAAGUAUAAAUUUCGUCGUUUUCAGGUUCCAGGGUGAAGGUUCAUAUCAGUAACCUGCACAACCCUCCUGUUUGCAAGCAGCUAAGGCCUUUGAACUAUGACCACAUUGCAAAUCUGAAGGUUGCCUUCAGUGAGUCGUUUCGGCAGAUUUACAUGACCAUGGUUUGGUUAGUUGAUAAACGCCUAGAUAGUUUAGAAGACUUCGUAAUACCCGGAAAGAUCUCGGUCCAAGUGAUCGGUGGAAAUCAUUCAAGACUAGCAAUACAAGAAUCGAAAGUGACAGAAUUUUUAUUUGUAGAGGUGUUUGCCCAGGUAACAGAUGCUCAAGCCCUAUUGAUUGGACUAGAACACAACAAGAUACACGACAAUGCUAAGAAAAUGACAUUCCAGGAUUACGUUCUUUUAUUCCGAAAUAUUUUUGCCUCGACAAAAUUGAAACAUGCAGGUUUACCAGCUAAAAGAACAUCGGAAUUGUGGAGAUCAGAAGUUGCUGGUAUAACGGGAAAAUCGAAGGAUGAUUUGAAGAGCUUAUUCAAAGUACACCUGCAUUUAGCUGCGUUAGGCGAUGAGGCCUGGUGGAGUGUUCUUGACGUUCUAAAUGCAUACGGACAGGUAAAAAUCAAAGGACAAAAGGCAGGUGAUAUACCGACACAGUAUGUAUGGCGACUUUUCAAAGUUAAAGAAAACAGUACGAAAUCGAAACUAUUAAGUGCUCUUGCUUCUGGAGAAUUAACAGUUGCCCAGUUCAGAAAGAAGUGUACAAGCCUCCAAGUCCCCUUAAAAGACAAAAGAAACUGACAAAGAAAGCCAGUGACGUUAAGGAGCAUGUUCCAGUGAUGGAAGCUAAGUAUAGAUCAAGACAUAAAUCCAGGUCCAAAGGAGGAUACAUAUUUGAGCUCCCAUGUUCCGUAAAAAGACAAAGGAAUCUGACAAAGAAUGCCAGUGACUCUAAGAUUGCUUUGGUAGAGUACAGCCAAGGUAGAGUGUAUUAUGUUCUCCGAGAUCCAGAGGACACAAACAAAGGAACUUAUUUCAAAGCUCCGAUUGGAUAUAUUAAAUAUGGACUCUUUUGUCAUAAACCAACAAAACUGUCUUUUGUUUUAAACAAAAAGGACGUACAAUCAGUUGACAGAAAAUUUAUCAUUUGUGAAUUUACCGGGGUUACAGAGGAUGGCAUCAUACGAGUUAAUAAGAUGUCAAUAUCUCCACAAGACCAAGUACUCCUUAUUUCAAACUAUGUGUAGCAGUGUUGAACUUUGUAAUGUAAUGUUUUGUUAUUUUGUCUCUCACCACACAGUUAUGUGGAAGACAUAUUGAUUUACCCCUCUGACUGUCUGUCUGUCUGUCACAAAUCUUGUCCACGCUCUAAGUCGAACAUCUCUCCGAUCUUCAUCACAAAAAUGUGUUUAACCAUAAAUCCUCUGCCAAAUUCGAUAAAUAGCCAAACUGAUAGCCACUUUGGUAUUAUUGCCCUUGCAUCACCGAAUAUCGGCUUUUUUACACUAAGUCUGUGCUUUUAAGUCGAAUAGUUUUCACAAAAGUAUGCCCUUUUCGACUUCGAAGGUUUUUGGAAAGGCUUUAAAUGUUAGCUUGUAUCUAAGUACCACCUAAAUGAACAGAUUGAAUCUUCACACAUUCGGUCACUGUGGUGAUCUGGCAUGUAGUUUACAGGUUCCAUAACUCUCUUUUGUGUUUUUAUAAAUCAUGCCCCUUUUUCGACUCGUAUGUCAUUGGUUAAGAUUUUGUAUGAAAGCUGGUAUCUAACACAACACGCCGUAGACACGU